rnacentral:rRNA from 1 species
GAGUUUGAUCCUGGCUCACCAACGAACGCUGGCGGCAGGCCUAACACAUGCAAGUCGAACGCUCCCUUCGGGGGGAGUGGCGGACGGGUGAGUAACGCGUGGGAACCUGGCUCUUGGUACGGAACAACCGCGGGAAACUGCGGCUAAUACCGUAUACGCCCUGAGGGGGAAAGAUUUAUCGCCGAGGGAUGGGCCCGCGUCUGAUUAGCUAGUUGGUGAGGUAACGGCUCACCAAGGCAUCGAUCAGUAGCUGGUCUGAGAGGAUGAUCAGCCACACUGGGACUGAGACACGGCCCAGACUCCUACGGGAGGCAGCAGUGGGGAAUAUUGGACAAUGGGGGCAACCCUGAUCCAGCCAUGCCGCGUGAGUGACGAAGGCCUUAGGGUUGUAAAGCUCUUUCAGUGGUGACGAUGAUGACGGUAGCCACAGAAGAAGCCCCGGCUAACUCCGUGCCAGCAGCCGCGGUAAUACGGAGGGGGCAAGCGUUGUUCGGAAUUACUGGGCGUAAAGGGCGCGUAGGCGGUCUGUUGCGUCAGGUGUGAAAGCCCCGGGCUCAACCUGGGAGGUGCACUUUGAUACGGGCAGGCUUGAAUCCGGGAGAGGAUG